rnacentral:lncRNA from 1 species
UGGGGAAAUUAUGUGAAACCGGUGAGAUUUGGGGAAUUGUGGGGGCUUUCUGUGGGGAAGGUUGCAAUGGAGAGGGGGAGAGAGGGCAUAUACGACGGCGGCGGAGGCGAACUGGAGAGGAAGAAGGAGGAGAAGGAGCAAGAAGAAUGAGAAGGAAGACGAGAAAGCGGAAGAAAGAGAAGGAAAAAGAAGAGAAAGAAAAAUUGUGUAAAUUUUACCCAAAGAGUGCAACUUUUACUUAAAAAAUAUAACUUUCAUUUUAAAG